GGUGAGUAAUACUUAGGAAUCUGCCUAUUAAUGGGGGACAACAUCUCGAAAGGGAUGCUAAUACCGCAUACGCCCUACGGGGGAAAGCAGGGGAUCACUUGUGACCUUGCGUUAAUAGAUGAGCCUAAGUCGGAUUAGCUAGUUGGUGGGGUAAAGGCCUACCAAGGCGACGAUCUGUAGCGGGUCUGAGAGGAUGAUCCGCCACACUGGGACUGAGACACGGCCCAGACUCCUACGGGAGGCAGCAGUGGGGAAUAUUGGACAAUGGGGGGAACCCUGAUCCAGCCAUGCCGCGUGUGUGAAGAAGGCCUUAUGGUUGUAAAGCACUUUAAGCGAGGAGGAGGCUCUUCUAGUUAAUACCUAGGAUGAGUGGACGUUACUCGCAGAAUAAGCACCGGCUAACUCUGUGCCAGCAGCCGCGGUAAUACAGAGGGUGCGAGCGUUAAUCGGAUUUACUGGGCGUAAAGCGUGCGUAGGCGGCUUUUUAAGUCGGAUGUGAAAUCCCCGAGCUUAACUUGGGAAUUGCAUUCGAUACUGGGAAGCUAGAGUAUGGGAGAGGAUGGUAGAAUUCCAGGUGUAGCGGUGAAAUGCGUAGAGAUCUGGAGGAAUACCGAUGGCGAAGGCAGCCAUCUGGCCUAAUACUGACGCUGAGGUACGAAAGCAUGGGGAGCAAACAGGAUUAGAUACCCUGGUAGUCCAUGCCGUAAACGAUGUCUACUAGCCGUUGGGGCCUUUGANGCUUUAGUGGCGCAGCUNACGCGAUAAGUAGACCGCCUGGGGAGUACGGUCGCAAGACUAAAACUCAAAUGAAUUGANGGGGCCCGCACAAGCGGUGG
rnacentral:rRNA from 1 species